UGUUGCUAGAAACACAUUGUUUUGUCAUUUUCAACAAAAUUAUUACAACAAUUAAGUUUAUAAAUCAAUUAUAAUCUCGAAUUAUUCCAGUUAUAUAAUUAUCAAUCUUUGAAUUUCAUAAUUACAUAAUAAGUUUAUACUUUCUCAGUGUAUAAGGGUCCGCAAAAAACUUGAUAUGACCACGAUGAGUCAAUUGAGAAAUAAAGAGGUUGAACCUCAGAAUACUAUCCGCUGCUGUACUCUUCAUAAUAUUGUUAAAUAUUUCUCAAUUUAUGACGUUAUUACAACUAUGUUAUUACCAUUAACGGUACGAGGUCGAAUUGGUGGUCAAUAUGGCGUGUUUACAUCGGAACCCCCAAUACAUGGUUUAUGUUUGACAAACAUGCCCUUCGAACUUGAAGUAAUUAUAAUAAUUCUGCUCUU